CUCCUGUAGCUAGAAACCUAGCUGGGUCUGGUCUUUCUCUGCUCCAACGUGGGAUUUACCAGCAUCUACAGUGUGUAAACACUUCAAGUCUAGAAGCCAGAGACAACCAGGAUGCCUUUCUUCAGGAAACUGAGCAGCAACCCAAACUGUCCUUUUGAUGUUGAUCAAAAUCCUCAUGUUGAUGUGGAUCUUUUGAGUGGUGUAUUAGCCAAGAGCUAUGAGGCCCCGCAUCUCCUUCUAUAUCUGAGCCGGCAUGCCAGGAUGCAGACCUCUCUCCCAUCACAGAGAAGGACUGCAGACAGGAACAGCCUUUUCACCCAAAAACAGAUGUGAAGCCACCAGCCUUCCCUUCUCAUUGGUCCACAGAUUUGGUGCUGGCUGGUAACUAGGAGCACUUAACGGGCUGUUGUUUAGGCUACAGAUAUGAAAAUGUAAUAUUAUGAAAAGAUAAAUUAAUAAAUAAUAGACAGGCUUUGUAAUCUCUGUUCCCUACUCUGGAGUACGUUGGAACUUAAGAGACAACA